GUAGACCUACGGGACGCAGCAGUGGGGAAUAUUGGGCAAUGGGCGCAAGCCUGACCCAGCAACGCCGCGUGAAGGAAGAAGGCCCUCGGGUUGUAAACUUCUUUUAUCAGGGACGAAACAAAUGACGGUACCUGAUGAAUAAGCCACGGCUAACUACGUGCCAGCAGCCGCGGUAAUACGUAGGUGGCAAGCGUUAUCCGGAUUUAUUGGGUGUAAAGGGCGUGUAGGCGGGAAUGCAAGUCAGAUAUGAAAACCAUGGGCUCAACCUGUGGCCUGCAUUUGAAACUGUUUUUCUUGAGAACUGG
rnacentral:rRNA from 1 species